AUCUGUUCUUAUCAGUUUAAUAUCUGAUACGCCCCCGAUUUGGGGGCAACGUAUUAAAUGCAUUUUUAGAACAGGGAGCCGAAUAAGGGGCUCGCCCAAGAAAUGCCUUAUUUGAGGGCUUUUGCAUUGUAUUUGUUUUUGAAGAUCCCACU
rnacentral:snRNA from 1 species